rnacentral:rRNA from 1 species
AUUGAACGCUGGCGGCAGGCCUAACACAUGCAAGUCGAGCGGAUGAAGGGAGCUUGCUCCUGGAUUCAGCGGCGGACGGGUGAGUAAUGCCUAGGAAUCUGCCUGGUAGUGGGGGAUAACGUCCGGAGACGGGCGCUAAUACCGCAUACGUCCUGAGGGAGAAGGAGGGGGAUCUUCGGACCUCACGCUAUCAGAUGAGCCUAGGUCGGAUUAGCUAGUUGGUGGGGUAAAGGCCUACCAAGGCGACGAUCCGUAACUGGUCUGAGAGGAUGAUCAGUCACACUGGAACUGAGACACGGUCCAGACUCCUACGGGAGGCAGCAGUGGGGAAUAGUGGACAAUGGGCGAAAGCCUUAUCCAGCCAUGCCGCGUGUGUGAAGAAGGUCUUCGGAGUGUAAAGCACUUUAAGUUGGGAGGAAGGGCAGUAAGUUAAGACCUUGCUGUUUUGACGUUACCAACAGAAUAAGCACCGGCUAACUACGUG